rnacentral:lncRNA from 1 species
CCGGCAGUUGGUUCCCGGAGGCAGAAUCUGUUAAACUGACAAAGCCCACGUCUCCGGGUCCCUGUCUCGGGGAGUCGGGACUAUUGGGUCACCCCGGGUAGUCGAGACUCUAGACUGAGCUGUCUCGGUCACUCAGGAGGCAGUUGGCAGAGUAUUCGUGGUCAGGGAGGUGACCCGUGGUCAGCAGGGUCAGGCCACCCAGGGACAAAGGGUGCUCCUGCACCGGGCCUUGGAGAAGGACAGAGCGGUGGGGACUUGGGGUCAGCGGGGGAGCCUCCGCGGAUGGGGAGUCACCACCUGCCGGGAAUCCAGCCAUCAUCUGAGGAAGCAGUUCAUGUCGCAGCAAAGGAAGUUCUGUUCUCACCACAGCCCCUAUCUUCUGGAAGCAGCUGUCGUAAUUGAAAGGGUGCAUUUCUCACCUGCACUGUGGUCCAGGAAACUCAAGUCACCGUCCCCACCAUGUUCUUCCUGACUUCGAAGCAGUCUGGUGACCCCAGGCAGGAACUGACUAGCAUGAGAGUCUUGAUGCAGGAGAAUUUUUGAAGAAAUUCAGAAGCAGAACCGAAAGGAGGAGAGAAGGUGGAGGUGGGAAAGCUGACAGCUGGAGACUGGGGAGGGCCCUUUGAGGCCUGGGAGAGAAUAUGUGGAUGGUGGGGAGAC